UUGGGUGAGAACUACGACUUGAACCCAGUCCUUCUGGAUCUUGUGUCAUUGCCCUUACCAUUAUUCUACUGGAUAAAUGAGUAAGUGAAUGACUAUUGGAGACAACAGGACAAGCUAAGAACUUGUAAGUUUUGGAAGGCUCCCGAUUGGUGGAUAAAUCAGAAGAGAGCUUGAAACGUUCUGUGACUGUCAGCUUGCUCUCUCUCUCUGGUGACAGCCAGCUUUAGAAUGACUUUGGCUGUACCUUUG
rnacentral:lncRNA from 1 species